ACGUCACUGCAGCAGACAGGACUCCAGCAGCUGCUGAUGAUACAGAGUACAGAGUUGCAAAGAAGCACGAACCCUACGCACCAAGUGAUCCCUCCUCUCGGAGAGAAGCGAUCUCUGAAGGAAGCUGCUCCGACGACGCUUUAGCGCGGACGGACUCUGCCUGGAGACACUGACAGCUAAUCGGAACCGGCGGCCGACGGAGACGUAUGGGUGAUGGGCGGAGAACAGAGUCAGGAGCAGGCGGCUGAGGAGAGAGGAGACGAGGCUGGAGGUCCAACCGGGUCCAGUUCCACCGGCUCAGAGUCUCCUCAAGACGUGGCUGGAGAGCUGCCCCAGUGCAGGAUGGGAGACAGGACGGUGGACAACAUGUGCUUCAUGAUCUCAUGCACCAACUGGUACUGAACUGGAGCUGAGACCACAAUAGCAGAGGCUGAGGUAGCGGCUGAGAGAAACGUGCAAAUUGAAAGAGAAAAAUGGAGGAAGCGAUUCCAAUAAAGAGUAGAAGCACUAAAACAAGCUUAAAAUAACAAAGCAAUAAAAUGUGCUGCAAACCACA